AUUGUUUAUUAAAAGAAACAUUAUAUUAAAAGAGCAUUGCAUUAAUCAUUGCAGGUACACACGCCAUCUGGUCUACCAGAAUAACAAAUUUUCAUUGCUCAUUUUAACGUUCCCGCCACGUGUGGGGAACGAAAUACACGGACAUGGGGAUUCAUAUACCGUCUUCAAGGUAUUAAAUGGGUCACUAGUUGAAAAACAGUACCGUCGUGACGAUGGUCAAGUUAGGCUCACCUGCAGAGCAGACAACGUCUACCAAACUAACGAGAUCUGUAAAUCGCCAUGUUCAGUCCAGUACCAUUGUGUAGAGAACCAUCAGGAUACUGUAGCCGUAUCAAUAGUUGUGUAUUUUCCCAGGGUCAAGGUGGCCCACUGGUACGAGGAGAACGGCCAGUCUCAUCUUGUUGAUCUCCGAUUCCCCCUAGCAACCUACACUAUAGAGAUAGAUAGGCAUUUACUGCAACAGAUUACAGGUGAGAACAGAGACAGCACUUCAGAUGAUGAGGUGAACCAAACUUGAGCCUUUUUUUUUUGCGUGUGAUAAUUUUUAAUCUUUAAAGAUUGGAGAGUCUUCCAGGACAUUUGCAUUCAUAUUAUGGAUAAGUCAUUCAAGGGACGUAACAGCAGCAACUACUGUGGCAUUUACAUGGAAGUUAUUUACUAGAUAAAUGUACCUCAUUCAAUAUUGUAGUGUAACUGAUAUGUUUAUUUUCAGCGUGUUUUCAGCGUGUGUCCAGCGUGUCAAAAGAUCGUGUCCAGUGUGUAGGUUUAAUUGUUUAUAGUACUUCAUCAAUGUGAUGUAAGACGUGCUUGUUUCGUUUACUGUUCACUGUAGCCUAAUCUUGUUGAAUAAAGCCAUGUUACUGGUAUACUAGUAUUUGUUGUUUCAUUACGAUUUUUUCAACGAGAUUUUGUAUCUUAAUUAGUGUUGGAUUUCUUAAUCAAUAAUGGAUAAAUUACUCAGACCGAAAGUGUUGGACAUUGAUCCAAAUGUUCCUCUGGUCUCACAAAAAUGGACUUACUGGUAUGACACAUUUCAGAAUGGCCAAAGACACAC
rnacentral:sRNA from 1 species